ACUCCAAUUUUCUUUUCUUUUGAACUGAUCCUACUCCGGUUGACUUAGCACGCCUAAUAAGUCAUACUUUACCAUUGAUGUGGCCAAAAGAUAUUGGUCAAUCAGCGUGGAGGGUGACACGUCAACUAACAGGCUCACAAGAGGCGUUGCUCCAACAAAACCAGAAUCUGCAAAAUUUGUGUUUUUCCAAGUUUCAUUAGUAGAUUAUUGCACCGAAACACAAAAGAUACAAAACUGAGAAAGAAAGAUGAGAUUUUUAUGGUUAAUUAUAGUUGUAUACACUUUUUGCCGCCAUGUUUUAGCUGAUCAGAUCUUCCCUGGUCAUGUGGGUGGUACAUUCAGUCGCAGCUCUCGUGAACCUAAGUAUAAGAUUGAAUUGCAUCCAGAAGACUCUCCUUUUCAUCCUGAUGAUGGCCAGGAGUCGGUGGUUAUGCAUAACAAAAAUGGACAGAAUUUUUUAUGUUACUUGCCCAAGGUGGAGAAAGCCAAGAGUGGAAAUCUUGUUAAUCAGCUGAAUAUUAGUGGCAUGAUUGUGGAAACUGAGAAACCGGUCAAACUGAAAACACCAGAUGAGCUACUUGAAGUGUUGAAGGAACGGUGUUUCAUCAGACAAGAAGGUUGGUGGUCUUAUGAAUUCUGCUAUCAGAAGAAGUUGCGACAAGUUCAUUUGGAAGAUGAUAAGUUGGUUCAGGAAUUUGUUUUGGGUGUUUAUGAUGAAGAAGCCACAGCUGCCUUCAACCAGAAUCUGUCUGAUGUUUCUACAGUGAAAGAUCCUCGCUCAAAAGAUGCAUCGCAAAGGUAUCAUGCUCAUCAAUAUACAAACGGAACCAUGUGCGACCUCACAAAUCAGCCCCGCGAAACAGAGGUGAGAUUUGUAUGCUCAGAACCUAGAGCUAUGAUUAGUUCUAUCACAGAGCUAUCCACUUGCAAGUAUGCUCUUACAGUACAAGUCCCAAUGCUUUGCAAGCACCUAUUGUUUCAAGAAGAGAGACCAGUAUGGCACACCAUCGACUGUAAUGCCCUUCCCAAGGAUUAUGAGGAAACAAAGGCUGAGAAUGACAAAACUGUAGAUAAGCAGAUUAUUAUGGUCACAGAUGCUGAAUAUCCAUCUGCUUAUGAUUCAGAUGAAUAGGUGGGCCGCUGCAUACAGGGACCUCUUUCGAUACAAACUGGAUUAGAUGAUGAGAUUCCCAAUUUGUCUUCCCAUCUCUCAAGUCUUUGUUGCUUACAUUGUAAAAUUAAGCCAACCUAGGCUCUUGCCGACCAUGAAGUCGAGGCAAGCCAAUGAAGCAGUCAGUAAAGCAGCCAUAGAACCGAAAUCAUGCCUUUUGUUGAAGGCAACACUGGCAUAGCACGAGUCUCACUUGGUGAAAACUACACCGUGGGAAUGUGGUUGUCGCAUGUAUUUCCAGGUAUAGACAAGAAAAAGUUUUCUGCAGUUCUUUCGGUAGAGAAAUCUAGAAAAUUAAUAUACACCAACUAUUCUUUUCAACGCUGCUCAACUCUAAACUGUCUCUUACCUUUUUCUUUUUUUUUCCCCUCAUCAUACUAUCACAUUCAUCUUUCCGCCAAUUGUUAAUCUAACAUGUUUAGUUGAAAGUUAAUGUGAACGUUCGAUUCAAAUCU